rnacentral:tRNA from 1 species
GUUCUUGUAGUUGAAUUCAACAUCAGCUUUUCAGGCUGUAGGUUUAGGUUUAAGUCCUGGCAGGAAUA